UGGGGAAUAUUGCACAAUGGGCGCAAGCCUGAUGCAGCCAUGCCGCGUGUAUGAAGAAGGCCUUCGGGUUGUAAAGUAUUUUCAGUCGGGAGGAAGGUGGUAAGGUUAAUAACCUUGGCAAUUGACGCUACCGACAGAAGAAGCACCGGCUAACUCCGUGCCAGCAGCCGCGGUAAUACGGAGGGUGCAAGCGUUAAUCGGAAUUACUGGGCGUAAAGCGCACGCAGGCGGUUGAUUGAGUCAGAUGUGAAAUCCCCAGGCUUAACCCGGGAAUUGCAUCUGAUACUGGUCAGCUAGAGUCUUGUAGAGGGGGGUAGAAUUCCAUGUGUAGCGGUGAAAUGCGUAGAGAUGUGGAGGAAUACCGGUGGCGAAGGCGGCCCCCUGGACAAAGACUGACGCUCAGGUGCGAAAGCGUGGGGAGCAAACAGG
rnacentral:rRNA from 1 species